UUAGAAGAACCUGGGACACCCUUUGUAAACUUGUUUCAUGCUUUAGUGCUUGACUCACGACUCCAAUCUGGUGCCAUCUUCAUGGCUUUAUGUACCUCUUACCCGCCUACAGCUCAGAUUGAUUUUCCUCCUACUCACCCUUUUGCUCACUACUCUCCUCCCAGUUCUCCUCUAACUAAUCCCUCUUGUUUCCCUCUGCUUGGUUUUGUUUGUUCCCUCCUCUUGCCUGCUCUGUGGUGCUCAGCCUGUGCAGCCAGGGGACACUGGGCCAAGGGUGCCACGUGGGCCCCACAGCCAAGGGGAAGAGCCUCGCUGGGCUCCUCAGCAGGCUGACCUUGGCACUUCCAGGAGUGGUUAGGAAAAGGGAUUCCUCAUCCUACACCAGAGCUGCUGUACUGUUAAUCCUAAGCAAUUAAUUAUUAGACUGUUGGGAAUGUGUUUUUGGAGAGAGGCCCUGCAUUCCCCAGACCAUCGCCAGUCUCUGGGGAAAUGUUGGGCAGCUUGGGUUGAAGUUAGACAAACAACAUAAGAGAAUAGGGGAAAAUAUUCUGGCUGUAUUGCACAUGGCUGCUUUCAUAGCAUGCCACUCAGCCUGCAAGUGAGCUGUUUAUAAAGAUAAUUCCACUAAGCACAGACAACUGAUUCAUUUCCCUGCUGCAGUCACACUUACAGAAAUCCUAGUGAAACACUUACACAUUAACAUUUUACAAUUUUAUUGCUGGCACUACCCACUUCUGCAGUGUCCUGUGGGUUAAAGCUCCUUGGCAAGUUCAGUCAAUAACUUGUGCCAUGACAGUUUGCUUGGGUUGAAUGCACAGAAAGAUUAAAAACCAACACAAACCCAAAUGGAAGCAAGCAGCUCAUUGAACAGGAAUAUCCAAAUGCCUCAGUGUGAGUUGAUGGGAUGGGUGCCACAUCCUGGCAAGCACUUCGUGGGCUUGGAGCCGAAUCUUCCACCCCAUUAAGAGGAAUGCUGUUGCCUUCUGUGCCCAAGGAUCUUCCAGGGUCUCCAGGUUAUUAUUAUCUUUCCUCUAAUGAGCAUGUUUAAUUAAAGGGCAGGUAUUUCCUAAAAGAUUUUAUUUGAUUUGGGGACAUCAUGUGAAGGAAACCACAAAAAGACACUUUCCCCCCAAAUCUUUAUAGCCCUGUAUGGAAGUGGUUGAAAGAUUCUUACACCAGUUUUCAGGAACACCUGUCAGUUUUGCCUGAAUUCACACAACUGAAAUGAAGGCACAGAAAUGGUAAAGCUCACGGCUGCUUUUGAGAGAAGGAUAUCAAAUCUCUCUCUUUUGGACAGGAACAAAAAUGGGGGGCUGAGAUCUCCUGCCAAACCCCACCGAAGCAGUUUGGCUGUUAACUAAUUGUAUAUUUGUCACACUUCAAAGGGUCUAAAGGUCAUGUCUUGGUGGUCACUCCUAUUUCUCCUUCAGACGUGGUCAGGUGGGACUGUGAGUUUGACCUGCCUUCAAUUCUACAAGAAGCAAAAUCCUGAGGCUGUCUGGAUUUGAGCUCUCACAGGUUAAGGAAAGCUGGGGAUCUUGGAGGGACUGGAUGUGCUACAGAUUUGCAGCAGGAAUGGAACUGAAGGAGAGGGUUAUGGGCCUGUAAAAGCACAGAUCUCUGGAGAAGAUGAACAGCUGACAUUUACUCCCUGUGUACCAUAAUAUAAGAACCAGGAGAAAUCAAAUGAGAAUUACAGAGAGGCCAACAGAAGGAGAGAUGUCUGCCUGUGAUUCUCAGUCCCACACACAUCCCCACGAACCCAAGGUAUAUUAACAGACAGAAUGUGAAAUCCAAGUGAAAGGAAGAGUCCAUAGAACAAAUCUCAUGGCAUUUGGAUUGCUCAUGGGCUAACAAGGUGUACCUUUCCCUGGGGAGCACCUGUUGGUGGGAAUGUUGGCUGACUGUACACCACCAGCAGCCCAGGUGCUGUGAGGUGCAAGGAAAAAGCCAUGGAUGUGAUUUUAGAGGGACAUGAACAUGUGCUGCAGAGAAGAUCUGGAUUCUGAGAUUUCCAGGUAUCACCAUCUUUACCGUGCUGGGAUCACAGUCCAGUUACAGAUGUUGAAUUACAACAACUGUUUCUUCUUCA